CAGUAGCCACGGUAAAACGGAGGGUGCUAGCGUUGUUCGGAAUCACUGGGCGUAAAGGGCGCGUAGGCGGCCUGUUAAGUCGGAUGUGAAAGCCCGGGGCUCAACCCCGGAACUGCAUCCGAGACUGGCAGGCUUGAGACCGGGAGAGGAGGGUGGAAUAUCCAGUGUAGAGGUGAAAUUCGUAGAUAUUGGAUGGAACACCGGUGGCGAAAGCGGCUCUCUGGCCCGGAUCUGACGCUGAGGCGCGAAAGCGUGGGGAGCAAACAGGAUUAGAUACCCCUGUAGUCCCUGUCUCUUAUAC
rnacentral:rRNA from 1 species